CCAACCUGGGCAACAAGACCGAAACUCGUCAGAAAAAAAAAAAAAAAAGAAUUUGCCCUUUUGUUUUCUGUAAACACGGUUUAGAAGUUGUCAGCAUCCUUCGCCUGUCGGGCUGUGAACUGGAUGCCCCAGACGCCUGCCCAGCAGAGUGGCUGUAGAACUCGGCGGGGGACAGGUUAUUUUAAAACGUAAUUUUCUGGCAUCCUGUGUGGCCCCUGCCUGUUUCCGGCAUGCACUGAGGUGGUCCCGUGGAAUCCGCGCGGGAGUAAACCGUGGACACCAGCGCCUGCGUCCAGGGAAGCCUUAGCCGAGGCGCCUCGGUGUGAUCUGAAGGUGGGGUCCGGGGGCCUGGCCUCUCGGGGGGCUGCCGCGGUGGAGGAGCGCCUCAGAGUUCACGGCGUAGCCCCACUCGCCGGUACCCAGGUGGACGCUGAUCGGGGGAGAGAACUGAGCCCCGGGGUCUGACGCCGUCUGCUGAUCUGAAGCGUUGAACUCACGGACUUCUAAGUCUCUCAACACCGUGCGGGAGCGCCAGGCCCGGCGGGACCGCGUGGCCCCCCUCUCUCCCUCCCCUCCUUCUGGAGGGUCAUGGACGCAGAGCCGUGUCCUCCCAUUGCUGAAUGUGGGGGUGACUGUGGGGGCCGGAGAGUGGGGGCAGCUCAUUGCAGCUUGUGGCGUAGCCCCCCCGCCAUCUUGCAGCUCUGGAAAUGCGCCCCUGAGCCCCGGGGGCCGCCGGCUCCUCUCUCCUCCGCUCCCUGUCGGAAGAGAGAAGAAGACAAGAGCGGCCUCGGCUGGGCGAGGGUCCCCGGUACCCAGCCCUCAGAGCAGGAGGAACGCAGCUUCAACUCAGGCCAGCUCUGAAGAGGGCCUGGGAGGGCGAGUAGCCCCUGCUGUGGUUCGAGCGGCGUGGCUGCUGUGCCGGGCGUGGCCGGUGCUGACUUGCGACCUCCUGCUGACGUGGCCCCUGCUGUGGUUCGAGCGGCGUGGCUGCUGUGCCGGGCGUGGCCGGUGCUGACUUGCGACCAUCUCCAUGUGCUGGUUGCAGGCGAUGAGCAUUUCCAGGGCUGGGCCUCUUGUUAGCGUGGUCUCUAGGGUGUCCUGUCGAGUGUACCUCCCCGUGGGCUGGCGCAUCGUGCAGGAAAUGGGGACACGGCGGUCCUCACUGUGUGUCCACUGCCCCUUUGCGGUACGGGGUGCCGGGUGGGGAUCCCACCGCCUGCCCAGUUCUCCUCGUCAUGAAUGCGCCGUGGUUCAACAAACAGCGUCCGGCCGUGGCAAUUCUGCACAAAAAUGGGAUGGUGGUCGCAGAUUUCUGAAUUUAGAGAACCAUUAAAUAUGCAGGCAGCAGGCCAGCAGCACAGAGCAGCCGACACUCAGAGGGCCUUUGGGGAUGGGUUCUGGAACAUUCUAGAAAAACUGAACUAGUUUCCUUGGAUUUGUAGGACCAGUAACCUUGGCUUGGCUGUUAAAUUAAACAGAUGGCAGUUUCA